CCUACGGGAGGCAGCAGUGAGGAAUAUUGGUCAAUGGACGAGAGUCUGAACCAGCCAAGUAGCGUGAAGGAUGACUGCCCUAUGGGUUGUAAACUUCUUUUAUAAAGGAAUAAAACGAGGCACGUGUGCCUUUUUGCAUGUACUUUAUGAAUAAGGAUCGGCUAACUCCGUGCCAGCAGCCGCGGUAAUACGGAGGAUCCGAGCGUUAUCCGGAUGUAUUGGGUUUAAAGGGAGCGUAGAUGGGUUGUUAAGUCAGUUGUGAAAGUUUGCGGCUCAACCGUAAAAUUGCAAUUGAUACUGGCAGUCUUGAGUACAGUUGAGGUAGGCGGAAUUCGUGGUGUAGCGGUGAAAUGCUUAGAUAUCAUGAAGAACCCCGAUUGCGAAGGCAGCUUACUAAACUGUGACUGACAUUGAUGCUCGAAAGUGUGGGUAUCAAACAGGAUUAGAUACCCUUGUAGUC
rnacentral:rRNA from 1 species